GGGAGGGGACUACGUCUCCCAGCAUGCAGCGCGAACCCUCCAGGAGGAGCCUGACUCUGCUUAUGGGGACCCCCUGCUCUGAGCACCCCCGCUCUGCAUGCAGCUGUGGGGUUGCACCUUAGAGACCGACCCAGUAACUCCACCAUGCUGGUGUGCCCCAUGACGCAUGACAUCAGAGAGACAUGACCUGGUCAGGCAUGCACCUUAGAGACCGAUCCAGUAACUCCACCAUGUUGGUGUGCCCCAUGACGCAUGACAUCAGAAGAGACAUGACCCAGUCAGACACACACCUUAAAGACCGACCCAGUAACUCCACCGCGUUGGUGUGCCCCGUGAUGCACGACAUCAGAGACUGACCCGGUCAGACACGCACCUUAAAGACCGACCCAGUAACUCGUGUUGGUGUGGCCCAUGACGCGUGACAUCGGAGACUUGACCCACUCAGACACGCACCUUAGAGACCGACCCAGUAACUCUACCGUGUUGUGCCCCGUGAUGCACGGCAUUAGAGACUGACCCGGUCAGACACGCACCUUAGAGACCGGGGGAGUUAUUCCAGUGGGAUUUUAAAAAUGUAACAGCUGUGCCAGCUCGAAUCCAGUCGAGGUGAACUGGGGUCAUUCGUGUCCGCUAGGACAUUCGUGGUUUAUGCAAAAAUGAGCUGCUGGGACGUAGCUACAAUGGAUGAGACUGCUCAGAGCGCAGCAGCCAUCAUCUUCAUCGGCCCACUGGGUGAUCAUCGCAGACGGACCAAGAGCUGAGGGGCAGGAGGGAGCCUGGCUUCACCUCCUGCCCCUAGAGGUGUCUCCUGCAGAGUAUAGGAGAGUCCCCUGCUGCGCUGGAGACAACUCCGAGGCUGCGGAUCCAGCCCUCCUCCUCCUCUGUGUAAAUGCGCAAGAGGCUACAAGAACUCGCUCAAACUUAGCGAGCGCAAAGCAAUGAAAUGGCUUCAGGAUGCUCAAUGCUGAACCCCCUCCCUGCUCAGAGGGACGGCACAGUUAAGAAAGCCAACAUUGAGGCCUUAAAUCAAAUUUCUAUCCAUCCUUGCACCUUGUGCGGAGAUUGGCACAAGGGUGACUAUCGACUCGUACAUUUUAUUCGUGGCUCUUCCUCCUCCUUCCCCAAGAAAUAAAAUGAGCCUGUUUAUUUCCA